UGAACAGAAAUCGAAUUAAAUGAAGAUGAAUUGAGGCAACAAAACCACUGAAAGCGAGGCUGGAUUAUGUACCAGGCCAGAACUCAGAGGUCUGCGAAACCUAAAGCAGGUGUUUUAGCAAAAAGAUAAAGUAAUCCGACAGUUUUGUGAAGGGCCACCUUGGACCUCAUGUCAUGUCACACGUUUGGCCCAACAUUUGGUAAAUAUGCAGUGAGCGACGUCACGCGAACGCCUCGCAAUGGUGAGAGGCAGAACGCACUCAAUGCUUUAGCGAGAGGAAGAGCGAGAGUAGCACGCGCUCACAGCCACUCUAAAUCUAUCCCCAUCCAACACAGCCGCGG